rnacentral:rRNA from 1 species
GAAUCCCGUCUUUGACACGGACUACCAGUGCUUUGUGAUACGCUCUCAAAGAGUCGAGUUGUUUGGGAAUGCAGCUCAAAAUGGGUGGUAAAUUCCAUCUAAAGCUAAAUAUUGGCGAGAGACCGAUAGCGAACAAGUACCGUGAGGGAAAGAUGAAAAGCACUUUGGAAAGAGAGUUAAACAGUACGUGAAAUUGCUGAAAGGGAAGCGCUUGAAGUCAGUCGCGUUGUUCAGAACUCAACCUGGUUUUACUUGGUGCACUUUCUGAAUGACGGGCCAACAUCAGUUUUGACUGUCGGAUAAAAGCCUUGGGAAUGUGGCACCUCCGGGUGUGUUAUAGCCUUUGGUUGUAUACGAUGGUUGGGAUUGAGGAUCGCAGCACGCCUUUUGGCCGGGGUUCGCCCACGUACGUGCUUAGGAUGUUGGCGUAAUGGCUUUAAACAACCCGUCUUGAAACACGGACCAAGGAGUCUAACAUGCCUGCGAGUGUUUGGGUGGAAAACCCGAGCGCGCAAUGAAAGUGAAAGUUGGGAUCCCUGUCGUGGGGAGCACCGACGCCCAUACCAGACCUUCUGUGACGGAUAUGCGGUUGAGCAUGUAUGUUGGGACCCGAAAGAUGGUGAACUAUGCCUGAAUAGGGUGAAGCCAGAGGAAACUCUGGUGGAAGCUCGUAGCGAUUCUGACGUGCAAAUCGAUCGUCAAAUUUGGGUAUAGGGGCGAAAGACUAUUCGAACCAUCUAGUAGCUGGUUCCUGCC